rnacentral:lncRNA from 1 species
AAAAAAUAAAUGUAUGUAUGUAUGUACAUAUGAAUGGUAUAUGCAGUGUGGCUUGCAAACAGCAACAACAAGUGGGGAGAAUACUUAAUUCAACGUCGAUAUUUCGCCCGCAUUAUCUGCGAAGCUGAAAUUUCCGGUGUGAUUUUAUUAGCGCGGCGUGUGUGUGUGUGAGUGUGAUGGGUGUAAAUUCAUUUUAUCAAACGAUUUAGUAGACAGGUAUCUUUAAAUUUUUUGUCGAAAUUUAUUGACGCCUAACACCACCACCAUUAAGUAAUACACAUUCAUACACACACACACGCAUAAAAUAUUUGCUAAAAACAUUUUCCGCUGACAUUGAAGCUUAAUUUGCGCGCGUGUUACCGCAGCCGCAGCCGCCUCUGCCGCAGCCUCGCCCACCGCAGCGACGGUCGCGUCGCGCUCCAUCAACACUGCCGGCAUUAACUUCCCCAUUUCGUCAUUCGCAUUCGCACGCGGUUUUAGCGGUCGAUUGUUGUCGGCAGCAGAGUUGAUUAAAUAGUGCGCACAGCGCGUAGUCGCUGCCUUUGUUAUUGCUGUUGUUGUCAGUUGUGUCGAUAAACUAUCAAAAUUCGGUUUUCGCCAUGCUUGCUUGUUCGUUGUUCUGUAGUUGUGUUGUAGUUUUUUUAUUACGCUUCUGGCACUUUUGUGGCCUUGCCUAGGUUCAAAGAACUCCUCGAACUAAUACCAGAAACGCAAAAUGUUCGAGGAGAAAUUCACGCCAAUGAAUACAAUAAACAAACACAGGCACAUUAAUUUAUUUAAAUAUAUUUAUUAACAUGUGUGUGUGUGCGUACGCGUGAAGCGACUGAAGCACUUUGAUAUUAAUUUGGCAAUAUUAAAUCACUAUGUACACUUACACACACACACACGCUGCUCUCACAUUUUUUUUUUGCACUGUGGUUGUUUCUGUUGUUAUCAUUUGCGCUUCAACAUAUGAAAUGUACUUUUUUAUCAAUGUCCCUGAUGCGACAGCAGCUGUCGCUUAUAUCGCCUGCGCCUAUUUAGCUGAAGGCCUCCCGGCUCGACUCGAGGUUCAAAGUGCUAGACUAAUGGAGGCCGUGCGGUCGGUGAAACGCUUCUCAAAAAUCACAAGGCGUGACGCAAAUGCGACAGGGCGCCGAGAAGGGGAAUCACCUCCGAAUUACGCUUGGAGGACAUUCGGUGCGUUCAGGGCUUAUGGUGACCUCUAGCAGGAUUGGCAAGGAUUUAUAAUUUUCGUACAUCUGCAACUGGAGAGUGAAUUGAAGGUCUGCGGAUAGUUUGCGAUUGAUAAAACGGAUUAAGGUUGUCAGUGAAAACUUUGUAUUGCAAAAGAACACAAACGGAAUCUGUGCUGAUGUAAUUAAAACAAAAAAAAACAUUUACAAAUAAAAAUAUAAAAGUUUUCCAUACAAGAACUUGAAUUUUGAUUAUUCAGUUUGUAUGGCAAUUAUACGCUAUAAUGGUGCGUUACCGGCGGUUGCA